AGGAUAAACGCUGGCGGCGUGCCUAACACAUGCAAGUCGAACGUCCUUGCGGUCUUCUUCUUCGGAGGAGGACCGCGAGGGAGUGGCGGACGGGUGAGUAACACAUGGGUACCUGCCUUUCAGUGAGGAAUACCGGCGAGAAAUCGCCGACAAGACCGCAUAGGCUUCCUUCGGUAGCCCGAGGGAAGCAAAGUUACUUCGCGAGAGGUGACGCUGGAAGAGGGGCCUGUGGCCGAUUAGCUAGUUGGGGGGGUAACGGCCUCCCAAGGCGACGAUCGGUAGCUGGUCUGAGAGGACGAUCAGCCACACUGGGAUUGAGAACGGCCCAGACUCCUACGGGGGGCAGCAGUGAGGAAUUUUCGUCAAUGGGGGCAACCCUGAACGAGCAACGCCGCGUGCAGGAAGAAGGUUUUCGGAUCGUAAACUGCUUUUCUCGGGGAAGAGAACGGACGGUACCCGAGGAAUCGAGCCCGGCUAACUACGCGCCAGCAGCCGC
rnacentral:rRNA from 1 species